ACAAGGUAUCGUCGAAGUUGUUGACGAUGGCCAAAAUGUUGCUGGUCAGCUCGGAGGAGCUGUUGAGCAUCUUCCGCAUGGACUCUCCAGCGUUGGUGGUGGUGCCCUCGAAGCCAUCGACGCACGUCUCCUGGUAGGUGAUGGUGGCGCUGAGCCAUAUCUUGAGGUCGUCGAGGAACUUAUCGAGGUUGGCGACGGAGAAGUCGCCGAGCCGGUCAACCGACCGUCUGAGGUCAUCGAUGGCAUAGUCGAGAAGCUCACGGCAAUUCUCGAGGGCCUCCGAGGUGCUGGGGUCCUUGGCAGCCUCCGACAGCACCGUGGAGUGAUCGAUGGCGUCGUUGAUGUGUUUGACGGUGAUGUUGAAGGCCAAAUUGAGGAGCUCCUUGGGGUCGGCGUCGGG
rnacentral:lncRNA from 1 species